CCGAAAUGAUUUUCAUUCUUGUAGAUUGACUGACGCAUGUUAUAAUUUUGGCGCUGCGUGUGUUAUUUUUAAGGAAAUAGGAUACAUUUCAUAAGUGUGGAGAGCAGAGAGAAGAGGAAGUUAUAAAGUUGGGUUUUUAAUCUUACAUAGAGACAGGUUGAUGAUGUCAUCAGUCCUGGCUGUUGUCUCUACUCCUCCUGCAGACAGGGGUCCAGGGGUUCAUGGUGCUCAUCGCAGGCAGGUCCAUGGACCACUUGGAGAUCACUAGGGCAGCAAUUUUACAGACCACGGCACAGGUGUGCAAGUAACUGGCCUCUGUUGAGGGAAGAGACUUCAUUCUGACGGCAAGUAAACUGAAGCCACAAAACUAAGGACUAUAUCAGAUUCAUAUACAGUCGCUCUUUUAUAUUCAUACUUUUGUCAAAGUAAAGAAAGUAUUGGUGUUGUGUUUUCUAAUGUAGUACAGUAUAUAGUAUAGAAGAAUACAUUGUAUUUACACUAAUGUGUAUUAAUGUGUCUGUGUGUGUGUGUGUGUGUGUGUGUGUGUGUGUGUGUGUGUGUGUGUGUGUGUGUGUUUGUCGCCCAGACCACUGACUGUAGAGGCUCUGUCUCUAGCCUGCUCCUCAUCGUGGUCUGCUAAGAGUUUCCAGAGUGCCAUAUCAGACGUCACCUGGAGAAAUGCCGGAGUCGACUUCCGUCACCUGUUCAAUGAAAAGUAUCACUUUGAUGGGGAGAGGUUCGUGGAGGGACGAAAACUCAUCACAGAUGGCAUGACCUCUGUCAAAGCCAGCAUCAAGCAAGUGAACUUUGAGGCAGCAAGACAGAAGCUGGGAGUCAUUUUACACAACUUACAGGACUUCUACAGUCACAGUAACUGAAUAGAACUGGGUAACAGAUUUCCCCAUUCCAAUCUCAUCAGAUCAGACGUGUCGGACAUCGGCCCAGUUGCAGGGAAGUGCAGCCAUGGGGGCUCAUCAGACCAGACAAGAAGGCAGGAGCCUACAGGUGGAAUCAACAAGGACUCACUCGAGUCCAACCAUGGCAACUGGCACACUGCAGCUGCAGAGGUGGCCGUGGCUGCAACCAGUCAGCUGCUGGAGGACAUUAGAGGGGCUGCCAGGGACACAGACUUCCUUAAUCAUGUCAGUACUUAAUCAUAUCAGCAAUGUUGUGAAAGGUCAUGGAAUCUGGCUCGAAGGACCAUAAACAAAAGGACUAGGGUUGGAAGGAGGUGUGGCUUGUAAUUCCUGUAGGUUGGUAGGAGUGAUGUGUUGAGGAGUGGCUUGUAAGGCCUUGGAGAUACUUUUGGCCAUGGAGUGUAUGUGAAUAAGAUCAUUAGUGAGGUCGGACGCAGUUGUUGGGUGAUGAGGCCUGGCUCGCAGUCUGCACUCCAAUUAAUCUCAAAGGCAUUCGAUGGGGUUGAGGUCAUGGCUCUGUGCAGGCCAGUCAAGUUCUUCCACACCGAUCUAGACAAACCAUUUCUGAAUUUCAUUGUUUGCUGUAGUGUUAUGAGUUCCUUUCACUGGAACUAAGGGGCUUAGCCCAAACCCUGAAAAACAGCCCCAGACCAUUAUUCCUCCCACACCAAACUUUACUGUCGGCACUAUGCAUUUGGGCAGGUGCGUUCUCCUGGCA